ensembl:lncRNA
GUGAGAAAACCAUCCCUAGUAUGUCGCUGCACCAGUUGUGCGACGCUCUGUGGGCUGCAGAAAUACAAUGCUUACAUGGCCCUUCCAUGGCGGUUAGCAGACAACAAGGAUGUGCUGGUGUCAGAAGCUUCGCUGGGAUGGUGGUGAGUCCCUCAUCUGGGCUGAGCAGUGGUCCAGACCGAGGCCAGAGGAGCUGCCCUUGUUACAGAGGGCGGGCCCACCUGGAACGCGAGCUGUGCCUGUCCCUGAAGGUCUCUCCAGGCUGUGUCCAGAUGGAAAACCACAGGGGCGCCCCCACCCUGAAGGCCAGUCGUUGGCAGCAAGGACAGGCUCCCGCAGGAUGUCACGAAGAGCAGUGUUAGGGAGGGCACGGGAUCCUCCAGCCUGAAGACCUCCCUGCAAGCACUGACUUGAUGCUCCGAGGAAGGAACCAGGGGCACCUGGUCAGGAUGGAGCCCUGUCCUCCGUGUCCUUGUCUCUCACCAGCGGGGGAUUUGGCCACCUAAAACUCUGCUCUCUCUCCACCUCAUUUUCCCAAGUGCGGUGGGACUACAAGGGGAACGUCUUCACCACUGACAGCUUGGGGUCCUUUGGACCUAUGAUCAGGCCAUCCAGCCAGUGUGAAGAUGGUGUGGGGCAGGAGUCCCUCCCUGAAGAUACACUCUCAGUGGGGAGACCUCAUUGUCAAGGUCAAGAUAAGCCACAGAUGAGGCAGAUACUUCCUCAGACCCUGGCUUGAUUCUAGGACCUGAGCCGUUAGCCCAGGAUCCAGCGACGCAUCUAAGCUUCUCUGGAUCUUGUUCCUGUUGCAGACAGCCUUGUGGGGCGGGGAUGGCUGGGAGACGAGCCCCGAGCACAGGUCUAGUGUUGUGUCCCCAGCUCUGAGGGAAGUCCCCACUUGUGGCUGGAAGGUCACCUGAUCUGCUUGGGGGCAGGUUGAGAUCUUUGUGAAGCUGUCAGUGUACCGCUUAUCUCCCCUCUCCGUUUUGCUAAAAAGAGGCUCCUGCCCCCUUGUAGGGAGAGGAAGAGGAGCAGGGCUUUCUGCUGGCCCCCUCCAGCUGCACCCUAGGGUGUGGAGCUCACGCAGGCAGCCCAUGAUCACUUCAAAGUAGUCAGCCCCUGUGCCAGGCACCCCAGGCUUCCCAGAUGCCCCUCUGGAGCUCUGAGAGGAAGGGAGGUUUGGGAACCUUAAACGGGCUGCCUGUCCCCUCAGCCGCUUCCCUGUGUGCUCACACUGCCCAGACCGGAGCUGGGGGUCUCGUCCCUUCUGUGCUGGUGGCCCGAGGGUGGAGGAGGGCCCGCUGUGACGUCCUCACAGGACCUUGACCCCUAGCCGUGUGAAUUGCAGGUGCUGAGGGAACAGGACAAAGUCUGGUUUAUCUAUGUCUUUGGGUAGAGUCUGAUACUUCUCACCAGUAGAAGCUUCCAAUGUUAUGUAACAUUUUCAUGAAUCCUUCCAUACAUUUAAUAAGAACCAGUGAAAUUUACAGUCACUGGACCUCCGAGCAGGUGCAGUGAGGAGGCCUAGAAACGGGCGGUGUGAAGGGCCCCUGUCACUACCCCCACGAUCCAGUGUGAGGACCCAAAGUAGAUUCUCAGGAAGGCUGAAGAGGCCCCUUCCAGGCUCUGAGCCCCCAGCCCCAAUACCCUAAACCUCUAGCCCCAACCUGAGCCCAGGCAGGGCACAGCACAGGCAUAUUCGGAGAAACAAAUACUUCCUCACCUCCCUGUUCAUGGUCAUGGGGACACUCCUCUUCAAAGGAUAACUGGCCCAGCCCUCUAAAUGGAGCAGAUGGUAUUCUGGAGGCUCGGCCUCUGGAGGAAUGAGGGGUGGGGGGAGGAAGAUUCCAUGCUGGUGAUUGAAACCUCCCCCAGAUCCAGGAGGCAAAGCUGGAGUGGCCAGGGGCUUGGUGGCCGCGGCCCUUUGCUCAUGGAGGCAGCUGAUUCCUAAGAGUGUGAUUUUUGCACACAGCCUGACCUGUCUUGGUUUGGACCAUGGCUCUUUUUGAUCUUUCCCUCUUCUCAGUGGAUGAAGAGCCUAAAAAAGAAUUUCAGUUUGUAUUUACUUUACCCUUGGACAGAACCUGUAGUAGAACCAGGGCUGGGCCCAGGGGUCUCUGCUGACUCUGAGUCUGGUCCCAGAACCUCUUCUCUGGGAGGCAGGAGGCCAUGGGGAGCAGAAGGCGGUUCCCUCCAACACAGGUGUUGACCCCGGAGCCUCACGGUUCUCACCAUUCAUGUCCUUGUCUUAACCUUCCUUGUGCAGAUUUGGGGAUCGUGACCUUGAGGCUGCUCUAGUCUGCAGAUGUGGAUUUGAGGUCCUGUCCUGUUUAGGGAAGGAGGGAGCCUCGUAAUCACAAGAUCUUUGUUUAUUGGUUCUGCCCUGGGCUUGAGUACAUCCUUGAGAAGACUUUUCUCAUUGCAUUAGCUCCACAAGCUACCCCAGUUUUGUACUUUAGCAUCCGAUCCAUGAUUAACUUGUUCCUCAGGUUUUAACACCCACCUUGUCUUGGAAACACCUCUGAUUCUGGUGGGCCUGGCUCUGCACAGAGUCAGACACAUUCUUGGCUCCAUGAUGUGCAUCUUCUGGAUCCCACCCCACCCCCCAAAUUCCAGCUGAGAAGCCCCUGGACAAGAGCUCAAGUAUUUGGAAGGUGCCCUUCAGUCAGUCCGGAGUCAGGCAGGGGCGUGUUGUUCCCAGGACCCUCUUCUCAUCCCCUGUCCUGCACCAGGCUCUCUUCCUCCUGAGGCGGGAGUGCUGAGUCCUGCUUCUCUUCUUUGAUCCACUCCUGCUGAGGGUCUCCUGGGGUCUCUCUCUCUCAAAUUUGUGAUAGAUUCUUGUCCUGUUUGCUGUCCUCCCCACACAUAGGCACCUCUGGGAGCCUGGAGCAAUAUGAGGGUCCCUGUCCUGUCCAUGUGACCCAUUUAAGUGUUGGAAUAACUGAGAUGGGGACAUGUUUGUGAGAACGUGGACCCACAGAGAGUGUGGGGUCAGAGUGGAAUGUCUGCUUCCGCGGUUGCUCUGACACUCUCAGAGCAGAGAUCUGCUGUAAGUCACCAGACAGCGACCCUCGAGAGAAGGCUGGUGCAGUUGCCUGCAGGAGACGGGAGCUGCCAGGAAAGCAGGAAAUGUGGCCAGGUUGGGUUACAUGAGUCUCAUCACCUCCUUCCGGAAGUGUUGCAUCUGUACGUGGUUGGGAUGAAUUUGAAUGAAGUCACAGAGGAAGCUGUGUCUCUCUGCAUAUUAGAUGCUCUCUGAACCCUGUAAUCCUUCACCUUUGCUUAUCCCUUUUGGAGGAAAUGGAAAGGUUACCUGUGAUAUGUUUAUUAUUAUUUGAAUUACUAUAUACAUAUGCACUACAGUUGUAAAAUACUAUGUAUAUUAGUUAUAUGCUAAUAAAAAUGUUAAGGUGAUCUGCAAUAAAACACU